rnacentral:hammerhead_ribozyme from 1 species
AUCCACCUGACGAGUCUCAAAUAAGACGAAACGCGCGUCCCGUAU